rnacentral:rRNA from 1 species
GUACGGGAGGCAGCAGUGGGGAAUAUUGCGCAAUGGGCGAAAGCCUGACGCAGCGACGCCGCGUGGAGGAUGAAGGUCUUAGGAUUGUAAACUCCUGUCAGAUGGAAAGAAAAAGUUGUGUUUAAUAGACACAAAAUAUGACGGUACCAUCAGAGGAAGCACCGGCUAACUUCGUGCCAGCAGCCGCGGUAAUACGAAGGGUGCGAGCGUUAUUCGGAAUCACUGGGCGUAAAGGGUGCGUAGACGGUAUGUUAAGUUUGUCGUUAAAGGCUCCAGCCUAACUGGAGUAUUGCGAUGAAAACUGGCGAACUAGAGGGUGAGAGAGAGAAGUGGAAUUCCCGGAGUAGCGGUAAAAUGCGUGGAUCUCGGGAGGAACACCAAUGGCGAAGGCAGCUUCUUGGCUCAUUUCUGACGUUGAGGCACGAAAGCGUGGGGAGCAAACAGGAUUAGAUACCCCGGUAGC